AGGCCCUGCCCCCGGAAGCGCGCGCGGCAGGCGGGGCGGCGGGAGCGGCGGCGGGGUUGAGAACAGGGCCCAGCUGAGAAAUACUUGCCUGUGUUCUCUGUGACCUCUUGACCUGCAAACUGGGAGCAAAUACGCUGCAGGUUCAUGUUGUGCCUCCUGGGAUCCUGGGUAAACUCAGAGUUUGAGGAGAGAUGAUCCCGUUGUCCUCAGGCUGCAAGACUUGCAAAUCAUUUGAAGUCUGAGCAGGGCUUUGAAGCAGCAUCUCAGAAAUGUUAAAUUUUUCAGGUGAUAGUUGAGGGAGCAUGUUCAGAUCUGGAAUGUGGAAAUAACAGGUUUUUAUUAAGCAAAAUAAGUUCUGUAGCAAUCAUAUUAGGUUUAUUAUAAAAACACACUGUUUCAUGCUGUUCCAGUUGCUGCAGGAACACUUCCUGAAGUGAGCUGGGAUAUGGAAAUCUUUUCUUCCCAAGUUCCCAGUUGACAUAUUUGGGCCCAAUAUUUUAACACAGCUCGGUGCAGUGAGGCUGAGGGUGGUUGGGUACAACAAUAAAAAUAACCUUAAUUAUAUUAAUUCCAGGUGCUGUGUUUUCUUGUUGGGAUGUUGAAGGGGUGUCAGUGAAAAAGUGUCUUGGCCUAGAUGUGACUUCAGGUGGGAUGAUGUUGCUUGGGAUAAUUUAGCAGGAGGCACUUACCCAGGGUCUUUGGGUGUUGUACACCUCUGA